UGCAACAUAGCUACAAGCAAAUAUCUGCAUAGCGGCCAAAGUGAAAAUGUUUUUUUAGGAAAAAAAGACACCUUUCCAGCAUCGAACAAAAUUAACGUGGCAGAAAUACCUUUAUUUGGGAACAUGGAACGGCACCCUUUGAUGGACUUGACCUAAAAAGUGGUUCCAAAUCACCAUGCUCCUUCAUUGUCCUGGUGCACCAAUACCCAUGAAGGUCUGUGUAACACAGGUGGGGCCAUACCUUGUAACUCCUUCCCAUCACUGAUGUUCUUCUGUACCAAAUUAUCCUGCAAACGAGGAACAGCAGACAAUGCAAAGCUAACACCAUCCCUGGAUAGAGCAGGAUACUCCUCCACUGUGUCUCUCUGA
rnacentral:lncRNA from 1 species